rnacentral:rRNA from 1 species
UACGGAGGGUGCAAGCAUUGAUCGGAAUUACUGGGCGUAAAGGGCGCGUAGGCGGUUCAGAAAGUCAGAUGUGAAAUUCCGGGGCUCAACCCCGGAGCUGCAUUUGAAACUUCUGAACUAGUGUGCAGUUAGGGUAAACGGAAUUCCACGUGUAGCGGUGAAAUGCGUAGAUAUGUGGAAGAACACCGGUGGUGAAGACGGUUUACUGGGCUGUAACAGACGCUGAGGCGCGAAAGCAAGGGGAGCAAACAGG